CACUUUGAAGGCGCGUGCGGCACUUGCCGCGCAUGCGCAUUCGGCUCCGCUGAUGUCAGUCGGGGGAGCUAAGGUCGGCAGGGGAGGAGAGGUCACAAGCGCCGAGGGAGCCCGGCGCUGGAAUAAGGUAAGCUGCUGAUGGGGUUUUACUGAGGUAGGGGGCACCCUCAGAGCACUAUAUAGUGUCAGGAAAACUGCUUUGUUUUCCUGACACUAUAGUGAUCCUUUAAUUAGUAGGGUUAAAUGACACAAGAGGUAGUUUUAACAUGUAUGGAAUGGAAGUAUAAGGUUGCUAGAAGAGUUUUUACAAAUUAGACACUGUUGCAGAAGAAAAAGUGGGUUAGUGAGCUGUGGGGACAGAGACUAAUAGUUCUCAGUGAUUUUUGAUCAUGGAACCUUAAG